rnacentral:rRNA from 1 species
GACGAACGCUGGCGGCGUGCUUAACACAUGCAAGUCGAACGGCAACGCCCUACUUUCGUGCGCUGCCCGAGUGGCGAACGGGUGAGUAACACGAGUGUAACCUGCUCUACACUUUGGGGUGAGUUAAGGAAGCUGGGGUUACGCUCGGACAGGAUCUGCUGCUGCGGGGUGGGGGGUGGAAAGUCUCGCCGGGCGGGGAUGGAUUCGCGGCUGAUCGGUUUGUUGGUGGGGUAGUGGCGUACCCAGGAUUGGAAGGGUCCCCGGCUGGUGAGGGUGACCAGCGACCUUGGGCCUGAGGGACGGCGCAGACGCCUACAGGGGGCAGUAGUGGGGAAUAUUGCCCAACGGUCGGAAGCCUGAUGCAGCGACGCCGCGUUCGGGAAGCCGGCCUUCUGGUUGUAAACCGCUGUCGCCUAUGACGACGCGUGUGUGACGGUAAUGGGUAAAGAAGCACCGGCUAACUACGUG